CAUUACUGAGUUUACGCUCUAUAACCCUUUGUGAACAUACCUAUAACUGUUGCUUCGGCGGGUAGGGUCUCCGUGACCCUCCCGGCCUCCCGCCCCCGGGCGGGUCGGCGCCCGCCGGAGGAUAACCAAACUCUGAUUUAACGACGUUUCUUCUGAGUGGUACAAGCAAAUAAUCAAAACUUUUAACAACGGAUCUCUUGGUUCUGGCAUCGAUGAAGAACGCAGCGAAAUGCGAUAAGUAAUGUGAAUUGCAGAAUUCAGUGAAUCAUCGAAUCUUUGAACGCACAUUGCGCCCGCCAGCAUUCUGGCGGGCAUGCCUGUUCGAGCGUCAUUUCAACCCUCAAGCUCUGCUUGGUGUUGGGGCCCUACAGCUGAUGUAGGCCCUCAAAGGUAGUGGCGGACCCUCCCGGAGCCUCCUUUGCGUAGUAACUUUACGUCUCGCACUGGGAUCCGGAGGGACUCUUGCCGUAAAACCCCCAAUUCUCCAAAGGUUGACCUCGGAUCAGGUAGGAAUACCCGCUGAACUUAAGCAUAUCAAU
rnacentral:sRNA from 1 species